UGUCGGGUGGUGUAAUCGGUAACACGGGGGAUUUUGGAUCCCUUAUCCCAGGUUCGAGCCCUGGCCCGACAA
rnacentral:tRNA from 1 species